rnacentral:rRNA from 1 species
UACGGAGGGUGCAAGCGUUAAUCGGAUUUAUUGGGCGUAAAGGGCGCGUAGGCGGAUUGUUAAGUCAGAUGUGAAAGCCCGGAGCUCAACUCCGGAACAGCAUUUGAAACUGACAAUCUAGAGGGUAGGCGGAGAAAACGGAAUUCCACAAGUAGCGGUGAAAUGCGUAGAUAUGUGGAAGAACACCAGUGGCGAAGGCGGUUUUCUAGCUUAUACCUGACGCUGAUGCGCGAAAGCAAGGGGAGCAAACAGG